GAGGAAGUUAGAUCUAUGACUUUUAGUCACUGAAAAGGAAAGAAAAUAUUAUUUUUUCUUUUAGAGAGCUGAUCGUGUUAUUACUCUGCCUUAAAACUGCAGUGGCUUUCUAUCUUAUAAUCUUCAAACCCCUUGGUAUCCCUUCCAGGUCUUUCAUAACUUGUUUAAAACAAUCUUUCUAGCCACAUCUGCCUCCUUUCCUCCCACUGAAAGCUGUUCUUGAGCUUUGCCAGGCUCCCAUGGUCUUAAAUACUGCAUGUGCUUUCUUGCAUACACGCUUUUUUGUUCAUGCUAUUCCUUUUGCUUGGAAUACCCUUCCUUGCCUUGAUCACUAGGAGAACUGCAACUCAUCCUUCAAGACCAGUUCAAAUGGCACUGUUACUCAACCCAACAGCAGAUUUAGCUUCUCCUUCAUCUGUCUCCCCUUAGGACUACUUUGUGUGUAUCUCUUACUGCACUUGUUCUUUAUAUCAUUCAUCCACUCAUUCAAUAACACUCAUUGUCUUUGCACUUUGUACCAGAUACUAUGUGAGGUGCUGAGGAUCCAGGUGUAAAAGUUCCUAUCUAGUGGGGCAUGCAGGCGAGGCCAUGUGAUUAGUCCUGAGAGAAAGCAUUGUGAGUCAUUUCCAAGCUGCAGUACCUACAAGCCCAUGGGAAGUUCUUCGGUUUCUCUUUCCUCUGCCAUCACAACUAAGGAACCUCAGAUGAAACCUCUUGGGCCCCUGAGUCACUGCAUGGAAGACAAUUGCCUUGUAGAAUCACAAUGGAUUUUGUGUAAAAGAGAAAUAAAUAAAGCAUUGUUUUGUUAAGCCA